rnacentral:rRNA from 1 species
CCUACGGGAGGCAGCAGUGAGGAAUAUUGGUCAAUGGGCGGGAGCCUGAACCAGCCAAGUCGCGUGAGGGAUGACGGCCCUAUGGGUUGUAAACCUCUUUUGCCGGGGAGCAAAGCGCCGCACGUGUGCGGUUAGGAGAGUACCCGGAGAAAAAGCCUCGGCUAACUCCGUGCCAGCAGGCGCGGUAAUACGGAGGAUGCGAGCGUUAUCCGGAUGUAUUGGGUUUAAAGGGUGCGUAGGCGGACGCUUAAGUCAGCGGUAAAAUUGCGGGGCUCAACCUCGGCGAGCCGUUGAAACUGGGGUCCUUGAGUGGGCGAGAAGUACGCGGAAUGCGUGGUGUAGCGGUGAAAUGCAUAGAUAUCACGCAGAACUCCGAUUGCGAAGGCAGCGUACCGGCGCCCAACUGACGCUGAGGCACGAAGGCGUGGGUAUCGAACAGGAUUAGAUACCCUGGUAGUC